AUGAACGCUGGCGGCGUGCCUAAUACAUGCAAGUCGAGCGAACGGACGAGAAGCUUGCUUCUCUGAUGUUAGCGGCGGACGGGUGAGUAACACGUGGAUAACCUACCUAUAAGACUGGGAUAACUUCGGGAAACCGGAGCUAAUACCGGAUGAUAUUUUGAACCGCAUGGUUCAAAAGUGAAAGACGGUCUUGCUGUCACUUAUAGAUGGAUCCGCGCUGCAUUAGCUAGUUGGUAAGGUAACGGCUUACCAAGGCAACGAUGCAUAGCCGACCUGAGAGGGUGAUCGGCCACACUGGAACUGAGACACGGUCCAGACUCCUACGGGAGGCAGCAGUAGGGAAUCUUCCGCAAUGGGCGAAGGCCUGACGGAGCAACGCCGCGUGAGUGAUGAAGGUCUUCGGAUCGUAAAACUCUGUUAUUAGGGAAGAACAUAUGUGUAAGUAACUGUGCACAUCUUGACGGUACCUAAUCAGAAAGCCACGGCUAACUACGUG
rnacentral:rRNA from 1 species